rnacentral:rRNA from 1 species
AUUGAACGCUGGCGGCAGGCUUAACACAUGCAAGUCGAGCGGUAACAGAGAGAAGCUUGCUUCUCUGCUGACGAGCGGCGGACGGGUGAGUAAUGCCUAGGAAUCUGCCUAGUAGUGGGGAUAACUUGCCGAAAGGUAAGCUAAUACCGCAUACGUCCUACGGGAGAAAGGAGGGGACCUUCGGGCCUUUCGCUAUUAGAUGAGCCUAGGUCGGAUUAGUUAGUUGGUGAGGUAAUGGCUCACCAAGACCGCGAUCCGUAACUGGUCUGAGAGGAUGAUCAGUCACACUGGAACUGAGACACGGUCCAGACUCCUACGGGAGGCAGCAGUGGGGAAUAUUGGACAAUGGGGGGAACCCUGAUCCAGCCAUGCCGCGUGUGUGAAGAGGUCUUAGGAUUGUAAAGCACUUUAAGUUGGGGGGAAGAGCAGUUAACUAAUAUUUGACUGUUUUGACGUUACCGACAGAAUAAGCACCGGCUAACUUCGUGCCAGCCGCCGCGGUAA